rnacentral:rRNA from 1 species
UAAGGAAUAUUGGUCAAUGGACGAAAGUCUGAACCAGCCAUGCCGCGUGAAGGAUGAAGGCCCUCUGGGUUGUAAACUUCUUUUAUCUGGGACGAAAAAAGGGAAUUCUUUCCCACUUGACGGUACCAGAGGAAUAAGCACCGGCUAACUCCGUGCCAGCAGCCGCGGUAAUACGGAGGGUGCAAGCGUUAUCCGGAUUUACUGGGUUUAAAGGGUGCGUAGGUGGGUAGGUAAGUCAGCGGUGAAAUCUCCGAGCUUAACUCGGAAACUGCCAUUGAUACUAUCUAUCUUGAAUGUCCUGGAGGUGAGCGGAAUAUGUCAUGUAGCGGUGAAAUGCUUAGAUAUGACAUAGAACACCAAUUGCGAAGGCAGCUCACUACGGGAUUAUUGACACUGAGGCACGAAAGCGUGGGGAUCAAACAG